rnacentral:misc_RNA from 1 species
AAGUCGUAACAAGGUUUCCGUAGGUGAACCUGCGGAAGGAUCAUUCACAAUCAAUAGCCCUAGUGGCAUGCCAACAAAAUUUUGUUGUGCACCUUUGUGCAAAGUAAAUAACUUUACUCAAUUUUAUAACUUGACUGAAAAUUUUUCAUUAUUUUAAUUGAACAUUGAGAGACAAUUUUUGUUGCUUUCAAUAAGUAGAUUAUAUUUGAAUCUUUAUACAACUUUUAACAAUGGAUCUCUUGGCUCUC